UUACAGGCUUAACACAUGCAAGUCGAGGGGCAGCAUGGUCUUAGCUUGCUAAGGCCGAUGGCGACCGGCGCACGGGUGAGUAACACGUAUCCAACCUGCCGUCUACUCUUGGACAGCCUUCUGAAAGGAAGAUUAAUACAAGAUGGCAUCAUGAGUCCGCAUGUUCACAUGAUUAAAGGUAUUCCGGUAGACGAUGGGGAUGCGUUCCAUUAGAUAGUAGGCGGGGUAACGGCCCACCUAGUCUUCGAUGGAUAGGGGUUCUGAGAGGAAGGUCCCCCACAUUGGAACUGAGACACGGUCCAAACUCCUACGGGAGGCAGCAGUGAGGAAUAUUGGUCAAUGGGCGAGAGCCUGAACCAGCCAAGUAGCGUGAAGGAUGACUGCCCUAUGGGUUGUAAACUUCUUUUAUAAAGGAAUAAAGUCGGGUAUGGAUACCCGUUUGCAUGUACUUUAUGAAUAAGGAUCGGCUAACUCCGUGCCAGCAGCCGCGGUAAUACGGAGGAUCCGAGCGUUAUCCGGAUUUAUUGGGUUUAAAGGGAGCGUAGAUGGAUGUUUAAGUCAGUUGUGAAAGUUUGCGGCUCAACCGUAAAAUUGCAGUUGAUACUGGAUAUCUUGAGUGCAGUUGAGGCAGGCGGAAUUCGUGGUGUAGCGGUGAAAUGCUUAGAUAUCACGAAGAACUCCGAUUGCGAAGGCAGCCUGCUAAGCUGCAACUGACAUUGAGGCUCGAAAGUGUGGGUAUCAAACAGGAUUAGAUACCCUGGUAGUCCACACGGUAAACGAUGAAUACUCGCUGUUUGCGAUAUACUGCAAGCGGCCAAGCGAAAGCGUUAAGUAUUCCACCUGGGGAGUACGCCGGCAACGGUGAAACUCAAAGGAAUUGACGGGGGCCCGCACAAGCGGAGGAACAUGUGGUUUAAUUCGAUGAUACGCGAGGAACCUUACCCGGGCUUAAAUUGCAGAUGAAUUACGGUGAAAGCCGUAAGCCGCAAGGCAUCUGUGAAGGUGCUGCAUGGUUGUCGUCAGCUCGUGCCGUGAGGUGUCGGCUUAAGUGCCAUAACGAGCGCAACCCUUGUUGUCAGUUACUAACAGGUUCCGCUGAGGACUCUGACAAGACUGCCAUCGUAAGAUGUGAGGAAGGUGGGGAUGACGUCAAAUCAGCACGGCCCUUACGUCCGGGGCUACACACGUGUUACAAUGGGGGGUACAGAGGGCCGCUACCACGCGAGUGGAUGCCAAUCCCCAAAACCUCUCUCAGUUCGGACUGGAGUCUGCAACCCGACUCCACGAAGCUGGAUUCGCUAGUAAUCGCGCAUCAGCCACGGCGCGGUGAAUACGUUCCCGGGCCUUGUACACACCGCCCGUCAAGCCAUGGGAGCCGGGGGUACCUGAAGUGCGUAACCGCGAGGAGCGCCCUAGGGUAAAACUGGUGACUGG
rnacentral:rRNA from 1 species